rnacentral:rRNA from 1 species
UACAGAGGAUGCAAGCGUUAUCCGGAAUGAUUGGGCGUAAAGCGUCUGUAGAUGGCUUUUUAAGUCCGCCGUCAAAUCCCAGGGCUCAACUCUGGACAGGCGGUGGAAACUACCAAGCUCGAGUACGGUAGAGGCAGAGGGAAUUUCCGGUGGAGCGGUGAAAUGCGUAGAGAUCGGAAAGAACACCAACGGCGAAAGCACUCUGCUGGGCCGACACUGACACUGAGAGACGAAAGCUAGGGGAGCGAAUGGG